ensembl:snRNA U12 U12 minor spliceosomal RNA
AUGCCUUAAACUUAUAAGUAAGGAAAAUAACGAUUCAAAGUGACACCCAAAUACUCACUGCUAAUGGGAGACUAAUUUAUGAGCAGCUGAAGGUUGCCUUUAAGGUGGCUCACCUACUUUCAGCAUGCCUGAGAGUCACCAUCUGCCCA